rnacentral:tRNA from 1 species
GGGGAUAUGGCGAAAUUGGUAGACGCUGCGGACUUAAAAUCCGUUGACUUUAAAAAUUGUGAGGGUUCAAGUCCCUCUAUCCCCA